AACACACACACUGUCCUCAAGCUUAAAGCAGGAAUCGACAAAUCGUGGGCGACCCUAUGCCGCCCCACGUCUUGUGUAAUGUUUUCACUUCGAACAAAAACAAGGGGAUUAAAUCCUGAGCCACCUUGGGCUGGCCUUCUGGGAAAGGUGUGUCUUUUGCGUUAAAUCCUGCCUACUCGAAUUACCCUGCUACCAUGGUCCCGGAGCUGGAGAGGAAGUGAAAGUAACUUGCAAAGCUAAUGUUACAGCUGCCAGAAACAAACACAGAGCAGAUGAAGCCAACAAGCUAGCUAACUUGUUUACCAAUAAACUGUCCUUGUAGCAGGGAAAACAGAAGCAAUAAUCAUUCUUGAAUCUGAAUCAACUCAACCCCAAAAGACUGCUCAUGACCAAUCCAUAAACCGGAUCAACAUUGGAAUUAAUUUUGAAAGGUGGAAGAGUGAAUCCAAAAUGGUCAUCGUUCUCAUGGACUUGUAGGGAGAUACUGGUGGAGACAGUCUGAUUUCGAGGGAACCUGAGGUUGUAGAAAAUCAACACCAAAAGAGAGCUCCAGGUGUCGCCCAUCUUCCCCAUUAUCCCCAGUGUAUUUAAAACUGUGCUCUCUGUUUGUCGGUUGCCAAUUUGUCUUGUCUUGUCAACGUGUUUUUCCGUGCUCCUGUUUUUCCUAGUCUCUGUUUUCUAGCCCUCCCGGUUCUGACCUGUUCUGCCUGCCCUGACACUGAGCACGCCUUCCUGACCAUUCAGCCUGCCCUGACCUCUAGCCCGCCUGCCCCCUGUACCUCUUGGACUCUGACCUGGUUAAUGAACUUCUGCCUGUUCUCGACCUGCCUAUUGCCUGCCCCUUGUAUUCUAAUAAAUAUCAGAGACUCUAACUAUCUGCCUCCUGUGUCUGCAUCUAGGUCUCACCCUGUGUUGUUAAACAGUUUGGUUUCGGUAGAUAAGUCACUGCCAAUAAAUGCUAAUGUUAGCAUUUUCGGUAGAAAUACAUUAUUUAACUCAGCAUAGUAUGUCUAAAGUUGUGUAACACUUUUACAACAGUCUGGCACUUUUGUAAUAAAAUUGUCAAUAUAUUUUCUUAAACAUCUUCUGUAUUGUGUGCUUAUUGUUUAACCAUUCAUACAGUAUGUUCUAGGGCAGUGGUUCUCAAACUUAUUCGGUUACUGUACCAGCAACUGAAUUUUGCUCUGCCUGGAGUACCGCCUCAUGUGCAUUUUACCAGUAAGCCUAUGAUCUCAUGAGUCUUCUAAAGUACCCCCUGGUUGGGAACCACUGUUCUAGGGGACAUUAAGACCUUAACCCCUGUUGGUAUCCUUAAAUAGCAAUAUCUACUAAACUAACAUAUGGAAUUAUUUUAAGUUGAUCAUAAAACGUGUAAUUUAGCCAUUUGAUUAAAACAUUUAGGAC